AAUAAACACUGCUGUUGUGCUUGUUUGUAGGGUCCGGCCAGCUGUGUGUCCUUCUCGAGGACUGGAGACUUCAGAUGAACAGGUGAUGCUGUGGAGGACUAACUUUGACAGCGUGGAUUACAGUGAGGUGCUGCAGCAGAAUGAGGCUUCGGGAUGAGACGGCUUCGGUUCACAGCCGGCCGUCAGCACAGGAGUCAGGAGCCGCUGGUCUGUCUGAGGGCCGUACCUCACAGAAGAGUGGCAGCACAGCUCUGGUCAGACCUGGAGCCAGUGUGGACGCCCCAUCUGACGGCCAGCAGGACAGCGUUCCCACUGCGCUCACCAGCACCC
ensembl:lncRNA